rnacentral:tRNA from 1 species
GGAUUGUGGCUCAGCGGUAGAGCGCUUGCUUAGCACGGGCGGGACCUGGGUUCGAUUCUCAGCACCA